GACAUCCAGAGAACUUAGCAGAGAUGCUUUGGUGCCUUCGGGAACUCUGAGACAGGUGCUGCAUGGCUGUCGUCAGCUCGUGUUGUGAAAUGUUGGGUUAAGUCCCGCAACGAGCGCAACCCUUAUCCUUUGUUGCCAGCGGUUCGGCCGGGAACUCAAAGGAGACUGCCGGUGAUAAACCGGAGGAAGGUGGGGAUGACGUCAAGUCAUCAUGGCCCUUACGGCCAGGGCUACACACGUGCUACAAUGGCGCAUACAAAGAGAAGCGACCUCGCGAGAGCAAGCGGACCUCAUAAAGUGCGUCGUAGUCCGGAUUGGAGUCUGCAACUCGACUCCAUGAAGUCGGAAUCGCUAGUAAUCGUAGAUCAGAAUGCUACGGUGAAUACGUUCCCGGGCCUUGUACACACCGCCCGUCACACCAUGGGAGUGGGUUGCAAAAGAAGUAGGUAGCUUAACCUUCGGGAGGGCGCUUACCACUUUGUGAUUCAUGACUGGGGUGAAGUCGUAACAAGGUAAGCGUAGCGAG
rnacentral:rRNA from 1 species